UAAUACAGAACCCUUAAGCGUUAUCCGGAUUUAUUGGGCGUAAAGGGUCCGUAGGCUGUUGAGAAAGUCUUUGGUUAAAUAUUCAGGGCUUAACCUUGAGAAUGCCUGAGAUACUUCUCAACUUAAGAGGGCGUUAGAGGCUGAAGGAACGCUCGGUGUAGGGGUGAAAUCCAUUGAUAUCGAGCGGAACACCAAAAGCGAAGGCAUUCAGCUGGGACGACCCUGACGCUGAGGGACGAAAGCGUGGGGAUAGAAAAGGAUUAGAUACCCUUGUAUUCCACGCUGUAAACGAUGGAUACUAGCUAUUGGAAGUGUCGACCCUUUCAGUGGCGAAGCUAACGCGUUAAGUAUCCCGCCUGGGAAGUACGACGGCAACGUUA
rnacentral:rRNA from 1 species